UACGAAGGGGGCUAGCGUUGCUCGGAAUCACUGGGCGUAAAGCGCACGUAGGCGGCUUUUUAAGUCAGAGGUGAAAUCCUGGAGCUCAACUCCAGAACUGCCUUUGAUACUGGAGAGCUUGAGUCCGGGAGAGGUGAGUGGAACUGCGAGUGUAGAGGUGAUAUUCGUAGAUAUUCGCAAGAACACCAGUGGCGAAGGCGGCUCACUGGCCCGGUACUGACGCUGAGGUGCGAAAGCGUGGGGAGCAAACAGG
rnacentral:rRNA from 1 species